rnacentral:rRNA from 1 species
AUGCUUAACACAUGCAAGUCUACUUGAAUUCUCUUCUUUGAUACUAAGGUGGCGGACGGGUGAGUAACACGGAAAGAACUUGCCUUGCCGUCUGGGACAACUAUUGCAAACGAUAGCUAAUACCGGAUAUUAUGCGUGGAGUCGCAUGACUCAUGUAUGAAAGCUAUAUACGCUGCGAGAGAGCUUUGUGUCCCAUUAGCUAGUUGGUGAGGUAACGGCUCACCAGGGCCACGAUGGGGACCCGGCCUGAGAGGAUGAACGGCCACAAGGAGACUGAGACACGGCCCUUACUCCUACAGAAGGCAGCAAUGCGCAAUAUUGAACAAUGGACCAAAAGUCUGAUCCAGCGAUUCUGUGUGCACCAUGACGGCCUUACGAUUGUAAAGAGCUUUCAAUCAGCAAAAAGAAAGUGAUGGAACCGAUAGAAGAAGCAACGGCUAAAUACGUGCCAUCAGCCGCGGCAAUACGUAUGUCCCACGCGUUAUCCGGAUUUAUUGGGCGUAAAGCGCGUCUAGGCGGUUUGGUAAGUCUGAUGUGGAAAUGCGGGGCUCAACUCCGUAUUGCGUCGGAAACUGCCAGACUAGAGUACUGCACAGGUGGGCGGAACUACCAGAGUAGAGGUGAAAUUCGUAGAUAUUUGUAGGAAUGCAGAUAGAGAAGUCAGCUCUCUGGACAGAUACUGACGCUGAAGCGCGAAAGCAUGGUGAGCAAACAGGAUUAGAUACCCUGGUAGUCCAUGCCGUAAACGAUGAUUACUAAGCGUCGAGGGUUGAACCUCGGCACUCAAGCUAACGCGAUAAGUAAUCUGCCUGGGGAGUACGUACGCAAGUAUGAAACUCAAAGGAAUUGACGGGGACCCGCACAAGUGGUGGAGCAUGUGGUUUAAUUAGAUGCAACGCGAGGAACCUUACCAGCGUUUGACAUCCUAGGAAUGAGAAAGAGAUUUUUCAGUGCUCUUUCGGGAGAACCUAGAGACAGGUGGUGCAUGGCUGUCGUCAGCUCGUGUCGUGAGAUGUUGGGUUAAGUCUCGCAACGAGCGCAACCCCUAUUGUAUGUUGCCAUCACUAAGUUGGGCAGUCAUGAGAUACUGCUUGCGACGAGCAGGAGGAAGGUGGGGAUGACGUCAAGUCAUCAUGCCCCUUAUAUGGUGGGCUACACACGUGGUACAAUGGGCAGUACAGAGAGAAGAGAAUCCGUGAGGAGGAGCAAACCUCAGAAAGCUGUUUGUAGUUCGGAUUGUACUAUGCAACUCGAGUACAUGAAGUUGGAAUCAUUAGUAAUCGCAAAUCAGCAAUGUUGCGGUGAAUACGUUCUCGGGUCUUGUACACACCGCCCGUCACACCACGAGAGUGGAUUGCACCUGAAGUAGCAGGCCUAACCGCAAGGAAGGAUGCUCCGAGGGUGUGGUUAGCGAUUGGGGUGA